CUCCUUCCUCCACCAAGUCAGCCGCCGCCACCAUCCUCUACACCCCGGCCACAAAACCUUGCUGCGGCCAACUCCACGCCACCAGCCCCCAACACCAGCACCAUGGUCACCACCUAAGCAAGGUGAGGCACCUCGCCAGCCUCUCCAUCCCCCUGGACUCCUUCAAGUCGUCAAGGACUGCACAGCCGGCACCCUUCAUCCUAAGCUCACCCCCGGCCACUUCUACUUCCCCAACUCCGGCGAAACCUCCUCCUCCUGGUCAUCAAGGACCACAAGACGCCGACGCAGAGCAGUACGAGCAGGAGUACGAGUUCCCCCUGGAGGAUCGUGUCGGUGCUUCUACCUCUGAUCUGACAGGUACGACAGAUGAUGAGCAGUACGCAGGUGGCUACUUUGUCGAGUUCACGGACGACGACUUCGCUGCGCAGCAGAUCG